UACGUAGGGGGCAAGCGUUGUCCGGAUUUAUUGGGCGUAAAGAGCGUGUAGGCGGCUAUGCAGGUCCGCUGUGAAAACUCGAGGCUCAACCUCGAGACGUCGGUGGAAACCGCAUGGCUAGAGUCCGGAAGAGGAGAGUGGAAUUCCCGGUGUAGCGGUGAAAUGCGCAGAUAUCGGGAAGAACACCCGUGGCGAAGGCGGCUCUCUGGGCCGAUACUGACGCUGAGGAGCGAAAGCGUGGGGAGCGAACAGG
rnacentral:rRNA from 1 species